rnacentral:rRNA from 1 species
GACGAACGCUGGCGGCGUGCUUAACACAUGCAAGUCGAACGGAAAGGCCCUGCUUUUGUGGGGUGCUCGAGUGGCGAACGGGUGAGUAACACGUGAGUAACCUGCCCUUGACUUUGGGAUAACUUCAGGAAACUGGGGCUAAUACCGGAUAGGAGCUCCUGCUGCAUGGUGGGGGUUGGAAAGUUUCGGCGGUUGGGGAUGGACUCGCGGCUUAUCAGCUUGUUGGUGGGGUAGUGGCUUACCAAGGCUUUGACGGGUAGCCGGCCUGAGAGGGUGACCGGCCACGUUGGGACUGAGAUACGGCCCAGACUCCUACGGGAGGCAGCAGUGGGGAAUAUUGCACAAUGGGCGGAAGCCUGAUGCAGCAACGCCGCGUGCGGGAUGACGGCCUUCGGGUUGUAAACCGCUUUCACCUGUGACGAAGCGUGAGUGACGGUAAUGGGUAAAGAAGCACCGGCUAACUACGUG